rnacentral:rRNA from 1 species
CCUACGGGAGGCAGCAGUGGGGGAUAUUGCACAAUGGGGGGAACCCUGAUGCAGCGACGCCGCGUGGGUGAAGAAGCGCCUCGGCGCGUAAAGCCCUGUCAGCAGGGAAGAAAAUGACGGUAUCUGAAGAAGAAGCCCCGGCUAACUACGUGCCAGCAGCCGCGGGAAUACGUAGGGGGCAAGCGUUAUCCGGAUUUACUGGGGGUAAAGGGGGCGCAGACGGCGAUGCAAGCCAGGAGUGAAAGCCCGGGGCCCAACCCCGGGACUUCUCUUGGAACUGCGUGGCUGGAGUGCAGGAGGGGCAGGCGGAAUUCCUGGUGUAGCGGUGAAAUGCGUAGAGAUCAGGAGGAACACCGGUGGCGAAGGCGGCCUGCUGGACUGCAACUGACGUUGAGGCCCGAAAGCGUGGGGAGCAAACAGGAUUAGAUACCCCGGUAGUC